rnacentral:rRNA from 1 species
CCUACGGGAGGCAGCAGUGAGGAAUAUUGGUCAAUGGCCGCAAGUCUGAACCAGCCAUGUCGCGUGAAGGAAGAAGGCUCUAUGGUUUGUAAACUGCUUUUAUAGGAGGGUAAACGUAUCCACGUGUGUAUGUUUGCAUGUACCCUAUGAAUAAGCAUCGGCUAACUCCGUGCCAGCAGCCGCGGUAAUACGGAGGAUGCAAGCUUUAUCCGGAUUUAUUGGGUUUAAGGGGUGCGUAGGUGGUUUGUUAAGUUAGGGUUGAAAUUUUGUGGUUCAACCAGAAAAUUGCUGUGGAAACUGGAAGACUUGAGUGUGUUUGAGGUAGGCGGAAUGCGUGGUGUAGCGGGGAAAUGCAUAGAGAUCACGCAGAACUCCGAUUGCGAAGGCAGCUUACCAAGCCUCAACUGACACUGAAGCACGAAAGCGUGGGGAUCAAACAGGAUUAGAUACCCGGGUAGUC